AUCGCUUCCUUCAGAACGGUCGGGUUGUACAGCGUCGCGGUGAGCCGCACCAGCGAGCCCACCAGACCCUCCAUGUACUGUACCGCGUACCUGCUCCUUCUCUUUGCGCUGCUCUGCAUCUCUUCUAUCCCGCUCAGCAGAACCGACACGGCGCCCUCCUGCACCAGCGCAAGGUUGAGCGAGAUGUUUCGGUGCGGUAGCCUUGAGAGGAGCGUCACCGAAGCAGCAUGCCGCUCGGUGAUUUGCCUGGCGUGGCUGAUGCUUUUGACCAGCCUGCCCGGCUGCCCCUGCGUCUUGCAGAGCCUCUCGGCGAUGGUGUGGCCAAUGUGCGCGGACAGGGUAAUGAGCAGCCUCGUCGCAGCAAUGCUAAGCGCCUCCAUUGGGGAGCUCAUGAGCUCCACAAUGGCAUGGCCGCGGUGGUUCUCUCUGACCACUGAGACCAUGACAUCCAGGGGCUUGGCGAAUGCGGUGAGCGCAAGCAGUAGGCGGAUGAUGCUGAGGUUGAAGUCGUCGGGUAUGAAGCACUUGAGCAUGGACACAAAGUUGUAG
rnacentral:rRNA from 1 species